rnacentral:lncRNA from 10 species
CUUUUGAGAAAUAUCUAUUCAGGUCCUUUGCUCAUUUUUCAUUUUUUUUUUUUUUCACUAUUGACAUAUUGUGUCCGAAAUUGGUGGGUUCUUGGUCUUAAUGACUUCAAAAAUGAAGCCACGGGCCCUCACGGUGAGCGUUACAGUUCUUAAAGAUGGUGUGUCUGGAGUUUGUUCCAUCUGAUGUUUGGACGUGUUUGGAGUUUCUUCCUUCUGGUGGGUUCCUGAUCUCGCUGGCUUCAGCAGUGAAGUUGCAGACCUUCACGCUUUGAGAACUAGAUUAAGUAAUUCCUGCAAGGCAAACCAAGUGAUGAUGAGCUCUCUCAGCUUCUGUUUGUCUGAUAAACUUUCUAUUCUCUCUCACUUCUGAAGGAAAGCUUUGCCAGGGUUUCAUUCAUUUUAAAGCUAACAGAAAAACAACAGAUUUUUAUAAUUAAGUUCCUGAGAAACCAUGAUAAAUACAGCAUUACACAUACUGUCGAUGAUAUUUUGGAUUUUGUAAGACACCAGAGAUCAAAACAUGCCAAAUUGGACUUCUUGUCAUUGUCUAUACAAACAAAACUCACAGACAUCAAAGCCACUAUGACCAUGCUGCUGAUGCAAGGACUGCAAGAGUUAAUCUGCACAGCCGUCACUGAAUCUAUAUUGGUCAGAGUGGCCUUAUCUGAUGCUGGUGAUCUCUGGGAUUGUUUAUAUAUUGUUUGCAUUCAACAGAAGAACAACAUGGCCUCAAUGUGGGUGCCAGACCAGCUUUGGGUAUCUUUCCUUCAAAGGAUGACAUACAAUAAAAACAUAUAUGGGAUGAUUACUAUUUGCUUCCAAGAAAAAUAUUGAAGUUUGCUAUUUCUUCAUCUCAAGUAUUAUAUCUUUAAAGUCAUUCAUGUUUCUAUGUGCUAUCCAUUGAUUCUGCCUGUGGCAUUAUACCCUCCAGUAUGGAUUCCUCCCAUUUUACCUUCCACUCUCCGAGUGAUGGAACCACAGAAUGCCUCCAACACUCCACCACCACAAGUAAUGCUGCAAAGGACAUCGUCUUACAUAUCCCCUAUCAUUCACUGUGAGGAUUUUCUUGUGAUAUGUAAAUGUAGAGAAAAGUUUCUUGAUUUCCUCAAGCAAAUCUACUGGGACUGAGAAAACACUGAAUAUAUAAAUUAAUUUGUGGAUGAUUGAUAUUUUAUAAUAUUAAAACAUCUCAUCCAAGAGCAUACGAAUUCUCCACCUAACAACAUGAAAAUUUUCUCUAAAAUAUUUUUAAAAGGGAAUAUUUUGAUUAACACUGCAAUUGUUUAAUACUAAUUGUGUAUUUGAAUUCCACGUUUUUCUUGAUCCAAUUUUUGGUUGUUUUUAUUUUUGGAGGAAUUAAUUCAUGUUAUUCAGUUUUCAGAUUUGUAGGUGAAUAGUAAUUUCCAUAGUCUUUUGCUAUUCUUUUAAUCUUUGCUGUCUCAAUGAUUUUCUAUUUUCAUUCUGUAUUUUGUUUACUUGCAUCUUUUUUUUCUUUUUACCUCUUUCUCUUUUUUCUUUCUUAAUCAGAUUUUCCAGACAUCUUAUUAAUCUUUUUUAAAAUUUAAUGUGAAAUUAUGAAUACUUUUACUGACUAUUUCAUCUUUUCUGCUCUCUUAUCUUUUAUUUUCCACCUUCUUCUUUCUUUGAGUUCACUUUCUUCUUCGAUUUCCAACUUCUUGAUUCGAAUAUUGAGCUCAUUAAUCUUUUCUCGCUUCUGAUAAAGGUGUUUAAAGCUAUCAAAAUUUUUCCUUGUGUAGUUUUAUCUGUUUCCCGCAAAUCCUGACUUCAUAUAUUUUUUGGAAGUCAAUUAUGUAUCUAUGUCUAUAUCUAUCUAAUUAUGUGUCUAUUAUUUUUCAUUAUCCAGUUAUAAAUAUCUAUACAUUUCCUUUAUAAUUUUCUAGGUUUGCCAAAGAUUAUUUAGUAAUAUGUAAUUUCAUUUUCAAAAUAUAUGAGUUUUUCUUUGCUGUUAUUUUUUAUUUGUUCAAAUUUCACUAUGUUUUGGUGGCAGAAAAAAGCCUAUGAAAUACUGAUACUUAAGAAUUUAUUUAUUCUUCCUUUAUGAUCUCAUGUAUGACCUAGUUUUAAAAACAUUUUGUGUAUUCUGGAAAAGAAUGUAUAUUUAAUGUUUGUUAAGCCAAGGAGAAUAGGUAGGUAGGUAGAUAUAGAUAGACAUAAUAGCUCAAUGUUUUUCAUUGUAUUCUUCAAAUCUUCAAUAUCUGUAUUUUUGGUCUACUUGUUCUACAUGUUUCUGAGCAAAGUACUCUAGAAAUGAAUAACUAUAAUUGGUGAUUUAUCUCUUCCUUCCUGCUGUUUAGUUUGUUGUUUCCUUGAUAUAUUUGGAAUCCGUAUUGUUAGACAGGCAUAUGAUUAUGAUAGAUAUAUUAUUCUGCUCUAUUGUGUCUUUUAUAAGAAAAAUGUUGUUAUGUUAUCUUUUUUUAUUAUACUUUAAGUUUUAGGGUGCAUGUGCACAAC